AAGAAAUUGCUCAAGGAAGAAUUGCCAUGUUCAGAUACAAAAGGAAGUCAUAAGAGUGGUGAUGCCUGCGAGUAGUUUCGUUCUUCUCUGUGCGUCGAAGAAGUAAAGAAGGGAAGAAAAAAACAGCAAACCAGAUCAACCGGAGAGAGACACAAGAGUAGACUCACUCACCUGUGGCCGAAUGUGUUAACUAUCUGCCUAGAUGCAGAUCUGCUGCACCCUAAUGUCUGCGACUGUGUGGCUGGUAAUUUCACCUAUAAUUUUUUUGUG